GAGAGAGAGAGAUGGGAGGUUGGGAUACUGUCCAGAGAGAUGUAGUGGUUCAAUGAGGAGAGAGAGAGAGCUUGCUGGUUUGAAAGGAAGAGACCAAGAGAUGGGAGUGUGCAUUGCCUCUCGUCGGUCGUACUAAAUAUUUUUUUCCCUUUUUUAAACAACUAACGUUAGCAUUAGAGGGAGAAAAUGCUCGCUGUGAGAUUAAUACUGAUCGGACGUUCUGGAAUUCGACCGGAUCUCGCUCUAAAUCGUUUGGAAAGGAACCCAAUCUCUCUCUCUCUCUCUCUCUCUCUCUCUCUAUAUAUAUAUAUAUAUAUACUCGGUCUUCUCGAGUCUUUCAAACAGGACUAAAGCCUGGGAUUUCACAGACCAUGUAUUCCAUAGCCCAGCCCAUAGCCGGCUAGGGUUGGCGGUACUCCCCUUGUUCUUGGUUUGGAACGGCGGUGCUCCUGUCGUCUCCCUCCUCUUCGAGAAACGCUCGAGAUCGCUUUCUCUUCCUCUUCUUCUUCUCCAAUCAUCGCCGGCGGCCGUAGCGACGCCUUCAUCGCCGCCGUCUCCCUGUGAACCUCCGCACCGCCUUCGUUUCUCUUUUUCUCCCACUCCAACGGUGAGAUCCCUCUCCCGAUUUUCUCGUUUUGAUACUAAUUUUACAUCGCGGGGGUUCUUCUUUGAGAAGCCAUCACAGUGGACAUGAGGGCGUGAUGGACCACCGCGCACAAAAAAGAAAGCUAAGACGAGACCCAUACAACCUUAUUUCCUUCAGGGAUGAUAGCUUCAGGCCUCCUGCUUCACCAUCUUCAAAUGCUGCUGCUGCUGUGCCAUCCGAUUCAACAUCAGCUUGCGAUAGUAGCCCCCUCACAUCCCCAUCCAGCAUUUCUCAGGCACCCACUGCAAAUGUAUCAGCAGGAGAGCAGCAUGUUAAGCAACAGAAACAACAGCCCCUUACUGUACUAUGACUCUGGUGACAGCUGCUUCAGCAGCUAUUCAGAGUUUUCCAUGAUGUUUAUUUCUGAGCUGUCUCUCUGCAGGCAUGAAUCUGGUGGAAGCUGACAUGCUAGACCUCCCCUUCAUCAGCAAAUGCUUCCAUCUGGUGAUUGAGAAAGGAACCAUGGUAAGAAAUCACCUCCUCUCUUACCGCAGUCCUGCCUGGCCCUCUACUAACUAUUGCUUUGCAAAACAUUUUAGCCUUAAGAUGCUAAAUAAUCUUUCGAGCAAGCGAUGCAUGCUUCUAAUGAGUUCUCUGACAACCUUUAGCCUCUGGUACCUGAAUUCUUUUUUUUUCUCUUUUUAGGAACAAACUUCCUGUGAAUAAAAUUAGAUGUUAGGAUCAAAUCUUGACAAUCAAAAUAUUCUGCACGUUUAUAUGCUUUCAGAGCCUAUGUUUAUUUCCA